UACGAGGGGGCUAGGCGUUGCUCGGAAUCACUGGGCGUAAAGCGCACGUAGGCGGAUUGUUAAGUCAGGGGUGAAAUCCUGGAGCUCAACUCCAGAACUGCCUUUGAUACUGGCGAUCUCGAGUCCGGGAGAGGUGAGUGGAACUGCGAGUGUAGAGGUGAAAUUCGUAGAUAUUCGCAAGAACACCAGUGGCGAAGGCGGCUCACUGGCCCGGUACUGACGCUGAGGUGCGAAAGCGUGGGGAGCAAACAGG
rnacentral:rRNA from 1 species